GUCAGGCGUUCCCUAUACAGCCCCCCUCGAUGAACUUGCUGUAUUUUCCUUAUAUGAUCAGGUCUCCGCUUGCCCGGAACCUGAGAGGAUUAUGAAAAUGUGUCUGGCGAAGUGGGGUCUGGGGACCGGG